rnacentral:siRNA from 1 species
UUGCAAGGGAGUGCUAGCCUA